rnacentral:rRNA from 1 species
CCUACGGGAGGCAGCAGUGAGGAAUAUUGGUCAAUGGGCGGGAGCCUGAACCAGCCAAGCCGCGUGAGGGAAGAAGGUACAGCGUAUCGUAAACCUCUUUUGUCAGGGAACAAAGGCGGGGACUAGUCCCUGGAUGAGGGUACCUGAUGAAAAAGCAUCGGCUAACUCCGUGCCAGCAGCCGCGGUAAUACGGAGGAUGCGAGCGUUAUCCGGAUUUAUUGGUUUUAAAGGGUCCGCAGGGGGCCUGUUAAGUCAGCGGUAAAAGCCUGGGGCUCAACCCCGACGAGCCGUUGAAACUGGGAGCCUGGAGUUGGGGCGAGGUACGCGGAAUGCGCGGUGUAGCGGUGAAAUGCUUAGAUAUCGCGCAGAACCCCGAUUGCGAAGGCAGCGUACCAGCUCCACACUGACGCUGAGGCACGAAAGCGUGGGUAUCGAACAGGAUUAGAUACCCUGGUAGUC